rnacentral:rRNA from 1 species
AACCCCGCCUGUUUACCAAAAACAUCACCUCUAGCAUUAAUAGUAUUAGAGGCACUGCCUGCCCAGUGACAUACGUUUAACGGCCGCGGUAUCCUGACCGUGCAAAGGUAGCAUAAUCACUUGUUCCUUAAUUAGGGACUUGAAUGAACGGCAAGACGAGGGUU